rnacentral:rRNA from 1 species
GACGAACGCUGGCGGCGUGCUUAACACAUGCAAGUCGAACGGAAAGGCCCUGCUUUUGUGGGGUGCUCGAGUGGCGAACGGGUGAGUAACACGUGAGUAACCUGCCCUUGACUUUGGGAUAACUUCAGGAAACUGGGGCUAAUACCGGAUAGGAGCUCCUGCUGCAUGGUGGGGGUUGGAAAGUUUCGGCGGUUGGGGAUGGACUCGCGGCUUAUCAGCUUGUUGGUGGGGUAGUGGCUUACCAAGGCUUUGACGGGUAGCCGGCCUGAGAGGGUGACCGGCCACAUUGGGACUGAGAUACGGCCCAGACUCCUACGGGAGGCAGCAGUGGGGAAUAUUGCACAAUGGGCGGAUGCCUGAUGCAGCAACGCCGCGUGCGGGAUGACGGCCUUCGGGUUGUAAACCGCGUUCGCCUGUGACGAAGCGUGAGUGACGGUAAUGGGUAAAGAAGCACCGGCUAACUACGUGC